CAAGUCGAACGCCAGCGAGGGAGCAUCCUGGCGGCGAGUGGCGAACGGGUGAGUAAUACAUCCGAACGUGUCCUGUAGUGGGGGAUAGCCCGGCGAAAGCCGGAUUAAUACCGCAUACGAUCUACGGAUGAAAGCGGGGGAUCGCAAGACCUCGCGCUAUAGGGGCGGCCGAUGGCGGAUUAGCUAGUUGGUGGGGUAAAGGCCCACCAAGGCGACGAUCCGUAGCUGGUCUGAGAGGACGACCAGCCACACUGGGACUGAGACACGGCCCAGACUCCUACGGGAGGCAGCAGUGGGGAAUUUUGGACAAUGGGCGCAAGCCUGAUCCAGCAAUGCCGCGUGUGUGAAGAAGGCCUUCGGGUUGUAAAGCACUUUUGUCCGGAAAGAAAUCCUCUGGGUUAAUACCCCGGGGGGAUGACGGUACCGGAAGAAUAAGCACCGGCUAACUACGUGCCAGCAGCCGCGGUAAUACGUAGGGUGCGAGCGUUAAUCGGAAUUACUGGGCGUAAAGCGUGCGCAGGCGGUGAUGUAAGACCGAUGUGAAAUCCCCGGGCUUAACCUGGGAACUGCAUUGGUGACUGCAUCGCUGGAGUAUGGCAGAGGGGGGUAGAAUUCCACGUGUAGCAGUGAAAUGCGUAGAGAUGUGGAGGAAUACCGAUGGCGAAGGCA
rnacentral:rRNA from 1 species